rnacentral:rRNA from 1 species
CCUACGGGUGGCAGCAGUGGGGAAUAUUGCACAAUGGGGGAAACCCUGAUGCAGCGACGCAGCGUGAGUGAAGAAGUAUUUCGGUAUGUAAAGCUCUAUCAGCAGGGAAGAAAAUGACGGUACCUGAUUAAGAAGCCCCGGCUAACUACGUGCCAGCAGCCGCGGUAAUACGUAGGGGGCAAGCGUUAUCCGGAUUUACUGGGUGGAAAGGGAGCGUAGACGGCAGCACAAGUCUGGCGUGAAAUGCCGGGGCUUAACCCCGGAACUGCUUUGGAAACUGUGCAGCUAGAGUGCAGGAGAGGUAAGUGGAAUUCCUAGUGUAGCGGUGAAAUGCGUAGAUAUUAGGAGGAACACCAGUGGCGAAGGCGGCUUACUGGACUGUAACUGACGCUGAGGCACGAAGGCCAGGGGAGCGAAAGGGAUUAGAUACCCGUGUAGUC